rnacentral:lncRNA from 1 species
UUAUACAAGCAAGAGCAACAGCUCUAUAUCUGGAUCACUGCAGUGCCUAGAAGAUACAACAGCACAAUUUACAAAUCCAAAUUUCCAGGAAGUCUCUGCACAUACCUCUAGUACAAAAGAUGUUUCAGAGACUAGAGGGUCAGAAGGCAAAGAGAGGCAAUAUUCAACUCCCAGUUCAGGUCAAAAGGGAAGAAAGCCUGGUGUUGAAAGAAAUCCAAGAAUGACUGUGUCUGCAACUCGCUCCUUUCUGUAAAGUAUUUAU